GGGUGACGGGCCCAGGCAACGGGCUUGGCGGCGGCUUGUCCCGCUCCUCCUUAGCCCGUUCCCUGAGCCUGGGCCUUUGGGGCUCUCAGAGUGGCCUCCAGGGGCGUCCUCCCCGUCCUCGCCUCCUCCAGUCCCGGCGGGUCGCGCGGCCCGGGGCGGGGCCUGCGGCGGCUGAGGGAAGCGAAGCGGAAUCCAGAGUUGGCUGCCUUUGAGCUCCUGAGGCUGCAUGGUUUACCCCAGACUCCCAUCUCCACCGCCAGACUCGAGGGCUCCAGUUUGCUCUUGACAACCUCCAAUCUUACCCCAGCCAAGGCUUCACCGCAGUCCUGGCGGCUUGGAGUUUCCCUCUGAAGAGUCAUCACCUGGCCUGAGGAACCCCAGCCCCAUCAUGGACCCAGAGUGCGCCCGGCUCCUCCCGGCUCUCUGUGCUGUCCUGGCAGACCCCAGGCAGCCGGUGGCAGAUGACACUUGUUUGGAGAAGCUGCUGGACUGGUUUAAGGCAGUCACUGGAGCAGGCUCCAGUCUCCUAUUACUGCAGGAACACCCCUGCCUGGUAGAGCUGCUGUUCCAUGUGCUGAAACCCCAGGAUCUGAGUUCCAGAAUCCUGUCCUUCACACUCCGCCUCGCAGGGAUCUUUGCAGCCCAGGAGAACUGCUUCCAGUUCCUCCAGCAGGGGGAGCUGCUGCCCGGGCUGUUCGGGGAGCCGGGCCCCCUCGGGACAGCGGCCUGGGCGGCCCCCUCCGUGCGCAGCGGCUGGAUCCAAGGCCUGCACUCUCUGGCGCAGCACCCCAGUGCCUUGCGCUUCCUUGCCGACUCGGGUGCUGUUGACACCAUCUUCUCCCUGCAGGGAGAUCCCAGCCUGUUUGUGGCCUCCGCCGCCGGGCAGCUCCUGGUGCGUGUCCUGGACUUGGCCCUGCGCGGGCCCGCUGAGGGGCACGUCUGCCCACAGGCCUGGGACUGGCCGGCCUGUGCCCGGAAGGUCGUGUGUCACCUCGAAGACUGCCUGCGCUCCGAGGCCGCCCCGCGGGUCACGCAGGCCCUGCACGUCCUGACCACCACGUUCGGGCACUGCCACGGCCUCUGGACGCAGGGCCUUUGGGCGCGGCUGAGCCCCCUCGUGGCCCGCCUGCUCGAGAAGGACCCGGUGCCAGCCCCGCACGCGCUUGUGGAUCUCCUCCUCAGCGUGGCCCGGUCAGGCCCCCGGGCGCAGCUGCCGGGCGGGGGGAGGGGGUGCCGCUCGUUUCCUUCGAGGUCUCAGGGCGGCCGUCACACCCGGGGCCGCAGCUCGUUGGCUUCUCAAGAAGGUUGCCUCGAGUCAGGGGAACCCCUCAGGGGGUCUGAAAGCCCGCACACUGGGAACGAUCUCUGGGUCGGGCACACCCAGCACCACGGGCACAGCUGCCCACUGGGCAUGGUGUGGGCUGGACGGGGCAGUAAUGCUGGCUUCUGGGGCCUCCUCUGCAGCUCUUCUGUGCUGAGCUCUGACCCUGGCCUGUGGGAGACCGCAGCACAGGCCCUCAGCCGCCUGAGCCCCACGCAGGCAGGGCCUCUGGCCGCGGGGAUCCUGAAACUGCAGGACUGUCCCCAGGCGCUGAGGAUCCAGGCCUUCCGCAUCCUCCUCCAGCCCCUGGCCCAUGUCCUGGAAGCCGCUGCUCAGGGCCCCGGAGCGCCACGCUUGCUGGAGGGGGCCGCAGGCGACCUGAUGGCCGUGGACACGUUCCCGCCCUCCAGGUCGGCGUGCGUGGGUCUCCUGUGCAGCGCCCUGGCCCACCUGGAGCUGCUGCAGCCCCUGCCCCAGCGCCCCUCGCCCUGGCCCCAGGCGCCCCUGCUUGCCGCUGCGGUGACGAUACUGCGAUUCUGCAAUGGCUCAGCAGCCCCCAGCUCCGAGGCAGGCAGCCGCCUGUGCACGAUGCUGGUGGGCUGUGUCCGCGUCCAGCGAGCUGCCCUGGAUUUCCUAGGAGUCCUGUCUCAGGGACUGGGCCCCCAGGAGUUGGUGACGCAGGUGUUUGCCAUCCUGCUGGAGUACCUCGUGAGCCCCGACUCCAGCCCCACGGUUCUGAAGAAGGCCUUCCAGGCCACACUCCGCUGGCUCCUGAGCUCAGCCACACCUCCCGGCUGCUGUGACCUGGAGCCCUACGCCCAGCUGGUCCUCGGAGGUAACCCUCGCCACCCCGGGGGAGCCGAGGGACGUGCAGGGUGGGGCGGGGGGGCCGGGGCACGGCGGGGAGGCCACAGGCGGGGGCCGGGGCGGGCCCCCCUGAGCCGUCCCUCCAUCCCAGAGCUGCUCGCCGUGCUACAGAAGCGCCUGUGCAGCCCCUGCUGGGAGGUGAGGGACUCGGGCCUCGAGUUCCUGACCCAGAUGACCAGACGCUGGGGAGGGCAGGGCAGCUUCAGACAGGUGCUGCUAGGCUCGGAGGUGCCCGAGCUCACCAGGCAGCUCCUGCAAGACCCUGAGAGCUACGUCCGUGCAAGCGCAGUGGCCGCCGUGGGGCAGCUGUCCAGCUGGGGGCUGCUCGCCGCCCCCUCCAGGCCUGAGCACCCAGACGUCCCGCAGAAGACCCCACUCGAGGAGCUUCUGCUCGUCCUGACCACAGACUCAGAGGGGUUCCCCCGGCGGGCCGUCAUGCGGGUCUUCACCGAGUGGCUGCGGGACGGCUACGCAGACGUGGCUAAGGACCUGGAGCAGUCCGUGGCCCCGGUGCUGCAGGCGGCGAGCAGGGACCUGGACUGGGAGGUGCGCGUCCAGGGCCUGGAGCUGGCACUGGUGUUUCUGGAGCAGCUGCUGGGCCCCCUCGGCCCCUCCACGGCGGCCCCGCCCGGCGCACUGACCCAGGCCCUGCAGGCCCUCUGCCGAGUCCAGCUCUUCGAGUUCGCUUUACGGUCCUUGUUUGACUGUGACCGCCCCGUGGCCCAGAAGUCCUGUGACCUCCUCCUCUUCCUGAAGGCCAAGGCCACUCCCUCCGGCAGCCAGCAGGAGGUGGGGGACGGUCCCAACGUGGCCUCUGUGGAGGCCGCCCUGCGGAGGUGGCAGGCCGGUGAACAGGGUCAGCCCCUGGGGGAGCUGGCGCCCGAGGCUGUCCUGGCUGUGCUGAGGUCCAUGGACCUGGAGGCCCUUCGAGACACCCUGGCCGAGAGCAGUGACCACGUGGAGAGGAGCCCCCAGUCCCUCCUGCAGGACAUGCUGGCCACCGUGGGCGUCCUGGGAGACAACGAGGCCGACUGCUACUGA
rnacentral:lncRNA from 1 species